rnacentral:lncRNA from 1 species
AUUCUGUCUCAAACAAAGAUAUUCAGGUAAUAUGAGGUUAAGCUUUGCUAAAUCUCCAGGAUGCAUCUUUGGUUUCCUGUGUGGUGGGACAAAGGAUCUUUAGACCGCACCUGAAGGGAGAGAAGCUAUUGGUAGAAGAGAAGAAUUGGAAUGUUUUUGACACAAAAGAGAAAAUGAGCGGGAAUGAGUCAGCCAGCAAAAAGGAGGGCGACGGACAACACAGUGCAGACUGAGGGGUCAGGGCACGCUUCAUGGAAGAGGGCCAGGCGAGGUGUCCGGCGAGGUGUCACAGCCCUGGCAGUAGAGAGUGGUUCGCUCAUGGGUAGCAAGAAGAAUUUACCAACAACAGCAUAGGCUUGAAAUGGAAUAUCGUAUUAGAUGGAAAGAAACGCUGCAGCCGAGUGCAGAGGGGCAUCUCAGCAAGAGAGGACUAAGUGCACUGCGGUGGAUUGUCCUUCGUGGCCUCCCCAGUCUCUCUUCUUAGAGGCAGACUCACUUGGCCUGAGCUUGUCCUUGUGAAAUGGCCUGAGGUUCCCUGGACACUUGUGCAGCGGCAUGGUCCUUCUUCAUGCCCUUCCUUCCAUAAGUCACUCUCGAGCCAGACAGCGAGCCAGACAGUGGGUUUAAACCUGAGCUGCACCUCAUGCUGGCUGGGUUUCCUUUGGGCUGAACACAUCUGCCUUCCCAGUAGACACUGACCGAGCCUCUGAAGAACAAGUUUUUCCCUUCUUGUGUCCCAGGCUUGCUGAAGGGCGUGGCAUUUAAAUGUCUGUAUUUACUUGAAUCGCACAUUAUUGAAUCGGAUAAAACUGAAAGAUUUUCAGGAGAAGACAAUGUCUAACUAUUGACAGACAAACUUGUACGUCUACUUGCAACUACCCACACCUGGGAGCUCGUUAAGAGCACCAAACCUUG